rnacentral:rRNA from 1 species
AAAUUAUUUCAAUUUUUUUUCACAAUACUAUUACACUAUAAUUAAAAUAAUUUUUUCUUUAUAAAAUACUAAAACAAAUCUUUAUAUAAUUAUUUUUAAUAAUUUAAAAUUUUAAAAAUCAUAAAUUAAUAAAUAAAAUAUAAUCAAUUUAUAUUGAUUUGCACAAAAAUCUUUUCAAUGUAAAUGAAAUACUUUACUUUAUAAGCUUUAAAUUGCAUUCUAGAUGCACUUUCCAGUACAUCUACUAUGUUACGACUUAUCUUACCUUAAUAAUAAGAGUGACGGGCGAUGUGUACAUAUUUUAGAGCUAAAAUCAAAUUAUUUAUCUUUAUAAUUUUACUAUCAAAUCCACCUUCAAUAAAUAUUUCAAAUUUAUAUUCAUAUAAAUAAAUUUAUUGUAACUCAUUUCUACUUAAACAUAAGCUACACCUUGAUCUGAUAUAUUUUCUUUUUAAAAAUUAUGAAAAUUAACAUUCUUAUAAAAUAUUCUAAUAACGACGGUAUAUAAACUGAUUACAAAUUUAAGUAAGGUCCAUCGUGGAUUAUCGAUUAUAGAACAAGUUCCUCUGAAUAGACUAAAAUACCGCCAAAUUUUUUAAGUUUCAAGAACAUAACUA